CCUCACGGCAAGUGCAUCCCGUUCUUCGCGCGCUUUCUCUCUGUCCCUUGCAAAGUGUUGUUGCUGCUCGUUCUGUACUUUCAAGUGCAAAGUGCUUCGUUCGGUUGUCUUGCGUUUCGUGGUGUACAUUUAUAAGACUUAUCAGGAUGCAGGCGAAGAAACGGCUUGGGAGCGUCUGAUUGCAUCUCCACCAAAGACGUCACUACAGCCACUCUUGAUGAAAACGAGUAGCCAUCAGAGCCAUCGGAUAUAUAUAUCGCCUUUGCCGCCGCUGCGCGCUAAUGGCUGAGCUGGAAGAGUGCAGGUGCGCGCGAUGCCAACCGCCACGAACGAAGCUACGAGCCACUGAAAGAAAUCGCUCGUCGGCCGUCUAAGCGAGGUUGACCAAAAAGACGAAAGAAAGGGCAAGAAAAGUGUGCGGCGAGGAGCAAGCGGUCAGGCAAUGUGGGGCAAGAGAUGAGGGAAGGCCGCGAAACUGCCCUCGGCAGCAUUGCCGACUCGGGUCUCAACGCCGCAGCUAUUGACUAUUACAUUACCGAGAUGAUAGCUGUAACCAACAUGAGCGCUAUCCUGAAUUCCAACGUCACCGAGGACAUUGAUCCUUUCUACUUCUAUCAGACGGAACAGUUCACGGUAUUAUGGUUGUUGUUUGCUGUAAUCGUCGCCGGGAAUACAUCCGUUCUGGCUGGCUUACUGUUUGGAAAAAGAAGAAAAUCUCGAAUGAACUUUUUCAUCAAACAACUCGCCAUUGCAGAUUUAAUGGUGGGUCUGAUAUCGGUGCUGACGGAUAUCGUGUGGCGAUCGACUGUCUCGUGGCACGCAGGCAACGUGGCCUGCAAGAUCGUAAAAUUCAUGCAGGUCGUUGUCACCUACAGCUCCACCUACGUUCUCGUCGCUCUUUCCAUCGACAGAUACGACGCGAUAACUCGACCGAUGAACUUCUCCAGGAGUGGAUGCAGGGCUCGAGCUUUGGUGACCAUCGCCUGGAGCCUCUCGGUGGUCUUUAGCGUGCCAAUUAUUUUCCUAUACGAGGAAAAGGUUGUCGAGGGUAAGAAGCAGUGUUGGAUAGAUCUAGUGACGGACACGAAUUGGCGCAUCUACGUGACGAUAAUCAGUAUAACGGUGUUCUUCGUGCCGACGGUGAUAAUCAGCGCUUGCUACAUCGUCAUAGUUUGGACUAUCUGGUCGCAGAGCCGAGCACUCAGGCAGGACCAGACGAGAGACACGAGGCGUGCCUCGUCCAGAGGACUCAUACUCAGGGCUAAAAUCAAGACUGUCAAAAUGACCUUUGUCAUCGUUUUCGUAUUCAUCUUGUGCUGGAGUCCAUACAUCGUGUUCGAUCUUCUGCAGGUGUACGGGCAGGUGCCAAAGUCGCAAACGAAUAUAGCUGUCGCCACGUUCAUUCAAAGCCUGGCGCCGCUGAAUUCUGCCGCGAAUCCAAUAAUUUAUUGCCUUUUCAGCACGCCAUUCUGCAAAACUGUACAGAACAUGCAGGCGAUAACGUGGUUUACGAACCUCUGGCCGAAGAAUCCGCAGCACUGCUUUGGCAGCAAUGCGCACGCCAACAGUACCAGGACUACAGUCACCACAUCCUUAACGGCGCAGUCUUCCAGGCGCAGUGGCCACAUAUCGUCCAUGCUGCACCCGUCCACGCGGAAGCAGCGCGUCGUUGUGUCGCUCGUUUAACGCCUAGUCCGACCGAGAACGUCAAUUGACUGUUUCGAGUGCCGAAACUUCCAAAGCUUAUUUUUCCGGUGCAGGACAAUACAAGCCGAGCCGCGCCAACUUCCAGCUCGCCCUGCAGAGCAUCCCAAGCGUCUGCGCGUCAGGCGGCAAGGUGGUGACGAGUUGUGGCCAAAGUCUAAUAGAAUUACAAAGCAGCAUCAAGCAACAGCAGCAACAGAGAGUACACGAGGAAGCUUCAGCGCCGUCUUUACGUUGCCAACCUGUCUCUUUCACUCUCAUCGUCUUCCCCACUCGCGAACUUUCUAGACUGACGUUUUUUCCUUGACGCGGGGUCGCCAGACUCCCAUAAAAGUGAACGUUUCGUGACGCUCCUGUGCGGGUGCCGACUACCGCGUGUCCGUAUGAUAUACUUUUAUGCGUGUAUUCGGCACGCGCAAAAACUUGCUUUAUGCUCUCCGAGAGGGAGGAAGAGGGCUUAUAAAAAAGUUAUGUUAUUAGCACACGUGUUCUGGCUUGAGAUUAUGGAAGUCAGAUUAAUGGCAGAGCUCCGACAGACUCUGUUGUGAAAUAAAAAAAAAAAAAAAAAAACAGAUUAUUAAAGUAUGCUACGUGCGAUAAUUUAUCGGACACAGUCGAUUGAGUUAUAGAGGUCGUUUCGUGUCAAAUUUAUCCCUUACUGAAGAUUCUAAUCGGUAUAAGCUUUUUAAAAUUGCACGAGUUUAGUAGCUACAACUGUGUCUUAAAAUGACGGAUGGCUACCGAAUCUUUUUCUGCGAACGAAAUGAAAGGGGGAAAAGAAAUAUUAGUCUGAAAAAUGUAUUAGGCGAUUUAUUCGAAAAACAUCAUUGAAUAUGCAGCAUAUUGAAAGUGCAACGUCGUUCAAAAUUUUAUAGGUGUGCAUGUAUGUACUUGAUUAAUUGCGAUUA